rnacentral:rRNA from 1 species
UACGUAGGGUGCGAGCGUUGUCCGGAAUUAUUGGGCGUAAAGGGCUCGUAGGCGGUUUGUCGCGUCGGGAGUGAAAUCCACUGGCUUAACUGGUGGCUUGCUUUCGAUACGGGCAGACUGGAGGUAUGCAGGGGAGAACGGAAUUCCUGGUGUAGCGGUGAAAUACGUAGAUAUCAGGUGGAAUACCGGAGGCGAAGGCGGGUAACCAGCUAGACACUGACACUCAGAUCCGAAAGUGUGGGGAUCAAACAGG